AUCGCUUCUCGGCCUUUUGGCUAAGAUCAAGUGUAGUUUCAUUUAUGUGGCCUUCAGUGUGCAGAAGCUUUUUUAUUUUUAAAGCCCAAUAGUUCCUUUUUGCUUUUGUUUCCCUUGCCUCAAGAGACAUGUC
rnacentral:snRNA from 1 species